UCUAAUAUGGCAGAUUAGUGCAAUGGAUUUAAACCCCAUAAAUAAAGUUUGGCCUUUUUUUAGAAAA
rnacentral:tRNA from 1 species